UAUAACAUCUCGGUAAUACCGACCUGUAACACUUUUGCCCUUCGGCACCGGAAUUUGUACGGCUAUAUCAUCACUUGAGAAGAAUGUGCAAUAAAGAACCUUCUUUGUGCUUAUGGUUCUUUUGGCAACUACAGGCCUUCUACCGUGUUUAGUUAGCCAUAUUUUGUUUCCAAUUUUUCUUACUGGAUCGAAAUAGUGAACCCAUGUUUCAUCACAAGUAACAAUGUUUGCAAAUUGUCUUUCAUUGAAUUUUGGGAAAUAUUUUUAGUAAUGGCUUAACUGUUUGUACUUGUACCCGUUUUGUGGUCGUCUGUCAUCUUGCAGAAAUAUUUCGUACUUUCAAAAUGCGCUUCUAUAAAUGAAAUGCACCCGCGAUAGCGAUAUGCCAACAACUUUGGCAAUAUCACGAAUCGUGUAUCUGCCAUAACUUUCAAUUAUUUCCCUGACUUUUGAGACAUUUACCUUGCCUGUUACAGUCACAGGUCGGCCAGAUUUUGCUGCAUCUUUGACGGACUCUGUGCCAGUCAGAAAUUUCUUUCUCCACCUACGAACUGUCUCAUAAGAUACCUUAUCAGACCCAUAAACUUCUCCCCAAUUCAGUAAAUAUCUGCAUUACCGAAUGACCGAGUUUUGUGCGAAUUUUUAUAUAAGCUCUAAUUUCUUCAAUAUUCUCAACCCGUUUCCCAACCAUUUUUACAACAGUGGUCAACGACUGGCUUUUUUUAAAUGACUAUAAGUUUAAAACUAUGUGGAGCUGAAGGCUCUUGUUAAUACCUAUGGAAAGGUAUUGAAUAGAGCUAUUCAAGAGUAUAAUCAUCCACGAAAUCAUGCAAAGCGUUAUCGCGCUGGGGGUACAAUACAUAUUACAUAUCGAACAGCCCUCGUAUACCAAAAAUUUAAUUUAGAUGCACAUGUUGAAAAAAGCUGCGACCAUAUAAUGAAGCGAAAACAGCGCAAAAAAACAGAGUCAGAGAGAGACCUAUUGUCAAAACUUAAUAUGUUAAAUGAAUUGAACGUAAGAGUGCAUGGAAGGUAUGUAGCUAAAUGCACUAAAACAGAAUGCCUAGUCGCUCCAUUCAUUACCUGAUGAAUUUUCACCUGAAUAAUUGAAUUAAAUGCAAAUGAUAACGACAUUGAUAAAAAUGAAAAUAAGUCUCAUUCUCUCUUCCACGUACUAUUUGUUUUACGUCCCGUUGAGAAUUUUUCACUCCUAUCUAAAAUUUGCAUCCGAAUUGGCCUGUUGUCCUAGAAACGGGGAAAUAACCUUUAUGUUCCGUGCAUGUAAAUCCACGCGUAUUUCUAUUUGAUGCGAAACUUCGGUGGAAACGUUUACCGUCCCCAGUUCCGGCAUUUUAAAAUGUUUUCCAGAAUCAAAACAUGAAAGUUUGCGAAGAGAAGUGAAUGUAGGCGAUGGCUGUCUAAUUCUCUAAAGAGAAUAGAAAUUCUACAUCGACUCGAUUAGCCCUAUAUAUUUUAUCAAAUUAGAAUCCAUUAGUCUCUAUGAAAACCUGUUGGUUUUUAUAUUAGACCUGCUAUAUUGAGGACGUUUUAAAAGUUAAAUUUAUAUAAGCGCCAAUGUUCAUUCACUGACUCGUGAUGAAAACUAUAUUUCAGAAACACGAUUCUUGUUAAGGACAAAUGGUUUAACGGUGCACAUUUUGAAUAGCAUUAUACAAACGUCGACGGUCGGUACUCUUUCCUUGUUAUUUAAUGACCUAUUAAUAGAACAACAAAAAAAACCAACCCCAAAACAUCCGGAAAUGGCAGAAUACGGAGUUUCUACUGUUAGUUCUGUCGUGAUCAGGAGAGAUGGCCCCUAACUUAACAGAGUUUAAGAUUUUUUUCUGGUUGCUUACCAGUGACUCUAAACAACAGCAUGGACUUCACCAUGAUCGCUUUAUCGGAAUCUUUGGAUAAACCGCCACAUCUCUUCUACGGACUCCUUUUUGUUUUCAGAAUGUGGCUCAGUUUAACAUUUGAUGCGUCAAUAUUGUACUUCCUUGUAAGCAAUGAAUGUUUACGUGUUAAGAAACCUCUACUUAUAUAUGUGACGAUGGUCCUAUUUUUAGCAAUAUUCAUUACGUCCGUGGCAUUCACAGGAAGAGACUUGUAUUCUUCCGCCAACGAGUUGAUGAUUGGAUUUAAAUUUUUCAACGCCGUUCAGUCGUGUUGUUUACUGUGCAGUUUUUCUAGAAGAAAAUUUGUUUCUAAUUUACCAACGUUAUUAAGAUUCGUUCUGUGUUUUGAAGCCUUGUUGUGUUCGUAUGAAUUAAUUGCUCUUUUAAUGAUUGAUGCGAGUCAGCGUUGAUUCUAAUUAAGUAGCCAGGUUGUUGGCAUUCUACAUGGACUACACAGACAAAUUGCACAGUACUACAGUAUUUGAAUUUUAAAGCAACUGUACAAUCGAGGACUUCGCCAUUGAUCGCAUGCCAAAUCAACUUAUACUCAAUAUACUUCAUAAAAUUUAAUGAUCUAA